CUGGCGGGAGGGCCGCAGGGAGUGCGCAUGCGGCCGAGUGCGGGACUGGGGCUCCUGGCUGUGGGUGUGGUACUGAGGCUUCAGCGGGUGCCGCCCGCCUAGAGGGAGUGGAGCGGUGAGCACGUCAGGGGUGGGGGGCGCAGGUCAAGCUUUCACCAGUUUUUAAUUCUUUGAUGGGGUAAAUUUGAGCAAUUUUCUCGACUUGUCGACAUUCGUUAUUAACUGAGCAGGAAUCAGGAGAGGAACCCGGUCCUCUCCACACAGCCCAGCAGAGAGCCUACGACUAGAUUUGCAUCUUUACGUCCUGCGCGGAGGCUGCUACACACAUGCAGAAGUCAUGCUGGUGGCCUGGACAUUGAAGGGAGAGAAGUGGAUUUGGGAGACAUUUAGGAGAUGGCACCGAAAGCGAAGGAAGCUCCUGCUCCUCCUAAAGCCGAAGCCAAAGCGAAGGCUUUAAAGGCCAAGAAGGCAGUGUUGAAAGGUGUCCGCAGCCACACGCAAAAAAGAGGAUCCGCAUGUCACUCACCUUCAGGCGGCCCAAGACACUGUGACUCCGGAGGCAGCCCAGAUAGCCUCAGAAGAGCACCCCCAGGAGAAACAAGCUUGGCCACUAUGCUAUCAUCAAGUUUCCGCUGACCACUGAGUCGGCCGUGAAGAAGAUAGAAGAAAACAACACGCUUGUGUUCACUGUGGAUGUUAAAGCCAACAAGCACCAGAUCAGACAGGCUGUGAAGAAGCUCUAUGACAGUGAUGUGGCCAAGGUCACCACCCUGAUUUGUCCUGAUAAAGAGAAGAAGGCAUAUGUUCGACUUGCUCCUGAUUAUGAUGCUUUCGAUGUUGUAACAAAAUUGGGAUCACCUAAACUGAGUCCAGCUGGCUAACUCUAAAUAUAUGUGUAUCUUUUCAGCAUAAAAAAAUAAUGUUUUUCAUAAGAAUGACAACUUAAUUAGAAUCAAAUCUAUAAGCUUUAAGAUUUUACGUUUCUAGUAAGUAUAAUAUUAGCUUAUUUGACUAGAACUCAAGCAGAAUAGGAAUUUAUGCUUGUUUUAUAUUCAAUAAUGAUAAUUUUGAAGAUAUAGUUGUUUUAUUACACCAAAAAUACUAUAUUAAUCUUAUUUAACUAAGUUUUAUCCAAAUCAUGUUAACUUAAGAAACAUUUGAUCAGUUCCUAUAUUUCUAGGAGUUUGGUGAAUAUUUAUUUAUAAAUGCUUAUUUUUUUCCAAGCCAAGUUAGAAUAGAGCACUUUUAGAGGAUUUCAUAAAUGAAUUUUGCAAUGCUCUCUGGAGUUAAGAAAAUAUCACAUAUACAUAACAUACAUUAUUAGAUACACAAACACAAAUAGAGAUUUCAUAGCUUUCAUCCUGAAAUUUCAGCCAUGAAUCAGGCAUAAAUAUUCUGAUGGUUAAUUUCAGACAUCUACUUGAUCGGAUUGAGAGACACACAUAGUGGUCAAACACGAUUUCAGCCAUGAAUCAGGCAUAAAUAUUCUGAUGGUUAAUUUUAGACAUCUACUUGACUGGAUUAAGAGACACACAUAGCUGGUCAAACAUGAUUUCAGCCAUGAAUCAGCCAUAAAUAUUCUGAUGGUUAAUUUUAGACAUCUACUUGAGUGGAUUAAGAGACACACAUAGCUGGUCAAACACAAUUUCAGCCAUGAAUCAGGCAUAAAUAUUUUGACGGUUAAUUUUAGACAUCUACUUGAUCGGAUUGAGAGACACACAUAGCUGGUCAAACACGAUUUCAGCCAUGAAUCAGGCAUAAAUAUUCUGAUGGUUAAUUUUAGACAUCUACUUGAGUGGAUUGAGAGACACACAUAGCUGGUCAAACACAAUUUCAGCCAUGAAUCAGGCAUAAAUAUUCUGACGGUUAAUUUUAGACAUCUACUUGACUGGAUUGAGAGACACACAUAGCUGGUCAAACACGAUUUCAGCCAUGAAUCAGGCAUAAAUAUUCUGACGGUUAACUUUAGGCAUCUACUUGAUUGGAUUGAGAGACACACAUAGCUGGUCAAACACGAUUUCAGCCAUGAAUCAGGCAUAAAUAUUCUGAUGGUUAACUUUAGACAUCUACUUGACUGGAUUGAGAGACACACAUAGCUGGUCAAACACGAUUUCAGCCAUGAAUCAGGCAUAAAUAUUCUGACGGUUAACUUUAGGCAUCUACUUGAUUGGAUUGAGAGACACACAUAGCUGGUCAAACACGAUUUCAGCCAUGAAUCAGGCAUAAAUAUUCUGAUGGU
rnacentral:lncRNA from 1 species